GUUCCCUCCGCGCAGGCCCCCCCCCCUGGCCCGCCCCCCGCUCCGGUGAGGAACAGGCGCCCGCGCGGCCAACGUUAUGUCUUGAUUCUUACUCUGAAACUCUGAAAUAAAAAAACAUAUAGAAUCAUAAAUUUCUGCAUCGGAUGCUCUUGGUUCUGGCUUCGAUGGAGGAACGCAGACGAAGUGCUAUAAUUAAUGUGAAUUUCCGAAUUCUCUGAAUCCUCUAAUCUUUUAUCGCACCUUGCGCCCUCUGGGACUCCUGAUGGCUUGCCUGUUCUAGCGUCAUUGCAACCCUCUUGCACUGCUUGGCGCUGGGGCACUGCCUUUUACCCAAGGGCAGGCCCUGUGAACAACUGGCGAGCUCGCCUUGACCCCCACCACAUUAGUAAAACCCUCGCUCUGAAAGGCCCUGGCGGUGCCCCGCCGUUAUCCCCCAACUCUCGAACAGGUGACCGCUGAUCAUGUAAGAUUACCCGCUGAUCUGAAGCA
rnacentral:rRNA from 1 species